rnacentral:rRNA from 1 species
CUACGGGCGGCACCAGUGAGGAAUAUUGCACAAUGGGGGGAACCCUGAUGCAGCAACGCCGCGUGGAGGAUGACGCAUUUCGGUGUGUAAACUCCUUUUAUAUGUCAAGAAAUGACGGUAGCAUAUGAAUAAGCACCGGCUAACUCCGUGCCAGCAGCCGCGGUAAUACGGAGGGUGCAAGCGUUACUCGGAAUCACUGGGCGUAAAGGACGCGUAGGCGGGUUGGAAAGUCAGGUGUGAAAUCCUACAGCUUAACUGUAGAACUGCACUUGAAACUUCUAAUCUAGAGUAUGGGAGGGGGAGAUGGAAUUAGUGGUGUAGGGGUAAAAUCCGUAGAUAUCACUAGGAAUACCUAAAGCGAAGGCGAUCUCCUGGAACAUUACUGACGCUAAGGCGUGAAAGCGUGGGGAGCAAACAGAAUUAGAUACCCCGGUAGUC